AUUGAACGCUGGCGGCAGGCCUAACACAUGCAAGUCGAACGAGUGGCGGACGGGUGAGUAAUGUCUGGGAAACUGCCUGAUGGAUGGGGAUCACUACUGGAAACGGUAGCUAAUACCGCAUACCAUCUGAUGUGCCCCGAUGGGAUUAGCUAGUGGGGGGGGUAACGGCUCACCUACGCGACGAUCCCUAGCUGGUUUGAGCGGCUGACCAGCCACACUGGAACUGAGACACGGUCCAGAAUCCUACGGGAGGCAGCAGUGGGGAAUAUUGCACAAUGGGCGCAAGCCUGAUGCAGCCAUGCCGCGUGUAUGAAGAAGGCCUUCGGGUUGUAAAGUACUUUCAGCGGGGAGGCGUUACCCGCAGAAGAAGCACCGGCUAACUCCGUGCCAGCAGCCGCGGUAAUUC
rnacentral:rRNA from 1 species